rnacentral:rRNA from 1 species
CCAGCAGCCGCGGAACACCGCAGCUCUAGCGUAACAUUUUAUGGGCCUAAGCGUCCGUAGCCGGUUUAAUAAGUCUCUGGUGAAAUCCUGUAAGCUUAACGUGUGGGAAUUGCUGGAGAUACUAUUAGACUUGAGACCGGGAGAGGUUAGAGGUACUCCCAGGGUAGAGGUGAAAUUCUGUAAUCCUGGGAGGACCGCCUGUUGCGAAGGCGUCUAACUGGAACGGUUCUGACGGUGAGGGACGAAAGUUAGGGGCGCGAACCGGAUUUAGAUACCCGGGUAGUCCUAAACUGUAAACGAUGCGGACUUGGUGUUGGGGUGGCUUUGAGCUGCUCCAGUGCCGAAGGGAAGCUGUUAAGUCCGCCGCCUGGGAAGUACGGUCGCAAGACUGAAACUUAGAGGAAUUGGCGGGGGAGCACCACAACGCGUGGAGCCUGCCGGUUUAAUUGGAUUCAACGCCGGACAUCUCACCAGAGGCGACAGCUGUAUGAUAGCCAGGUUGAUGACUUUGCUUGACUAGCUGAGAAGUGGUGCAUGG